GACGAACGCUGGCGGCGUGCUUAACACAUGCAAGUCGAACGGAAAGGCCCAGCUUGCAGGGUCCUCGAGUGGCGAACGGGUGAGUAACACGUGGGUGAUCUGCCCUGCACUUCGGGAUAAGCCUGGGAAACUGGGUCUAAUACCGGAUAGGAGCCAUUUUUAGUGUGAUGGUUGGAAAGUUUUUUUCGGUGUAGGAUGAGCUCGCGGCCUAUCAGCUUGUUGGUGGGGUAAUGGCCUACCAAGGCGGCGACGGGUAGCCGGCCUGAGAGGGUGGACGGCCACAUUGGGACUGAGAUACGGCCCAGACUCCUACGGGAGGCAGCAGUGGGGAAUAUUGCACAAUGGGCGCAAGCCUGAUGCAGCGACGCCGCGUGGGGGAUGACGGCCUUCGGGUUGUAAACUCCUUUCGCUAGGGACGAAGCUUUUUGUGACGGUACCUAGAUAAGAAGCACCGGCUAACUACGUG
rnacentral:rRNA from 1 species